GAUGAACGCUGGCGGCGUGCUUAACACAUGCAAGUCGAACGAAGCACCUUGAUUCGAUUCUUCGGAUGAAGAUCUUGGUGACUGAGUGGCGGACGGGUGAGUAACGCGUGGGUAACCUGCCUCAUACAGGGGGAUAACAGUUAGAAAUGACUGCUAAUACCGCAUAAGACCACAGCACCGCAUGGUGCAGGGGUAAAAACUCCGGUGGUAUGAGAUGGACCCGCGUCUGAUUAGGUAGUUGGUGGGGUAACGGCCUACCAAGCCGACGAUCAGUAGCCGAGCUGAGAGAGUGCCCGGCCACAUUGGGACUGAGACACGGCCCAAACUCCUACGGGAGGCAGCAGUGGGGAAUAUUGCACAAUGGGGGAAGCCCUGAUGCAGCGACGCCGGGUGAGCGAUGAAGUAUUUCGGUAUGUAAAGCUCUAUCAGCAGGGAAGAAAAUGACGGUACCUGACUAAGAAGCACCGGCUAAAUACGUG
rnacentral:rRNA from 1 species